UGGAGGGCAAGUCUGGUGCCAGCAGCCGCGGUAAUUCCAGCUCCAAUAGCGUAUAUUAAAGUUGUUGUGGUUAAAAAGCUCGUAGUUGAACCUUGGGCCUGGCUGGCCGGUCCGCCUCACCGCGUGUACUGGUCCGGCCGGGCCUUUCCCUCUGUGGAACCCCAUGCCCUUCACUGGGCGUGGCGGGGAAACAGGACUUUUACUGUGAAAAAAUUAGAGUGCUCCAGGCAGGCCUAUGCUCGAAUACAUUAGCAUGGAAUAAUAGAAUAGGACGUGUGGUUCUAUUUUGUUGGUUUCUAGGACCGCCGUAAUGAUUAAUAGGGACAGUCGGGGGCAUCAGUAUUCAAUUGUCAGAGGUGAAAUUCUUGGAUUUAUUGAAGACUAACUACUGCGAAAGCAUUUGCCAAGGAUGUUUUCAUUAAUCAGGAACGAAAGUUAGGGGAUCGAAGACGAUCAGAUACCGUCGUAGUCUUAACCAUAAACUAUGCCGACUAGGGAUCGGACGGUGUUAUUUUUUGACCCGUUCGGCACCUUACGGGAAAC
rnacentral:rRNA from 1 species